CGAGGAUGAUUUGACAAACUCUCGAUCGUAUACGGGGUUGUAUGAAACUGGGGUUAUACGACGAAAGAAAAUCGCCCGCGAGGGGAAUGUCGAACGAGGAUAUCAAUUAAGCCUCGAUCCGAUUUCAUCCCGCCUGAAAGACGAAUCCGGCACAAAUGUCGGAUAUUCAAGGGUGCACGAAAGCUCAUUUCUCGAUCCCGACGAUACCCCUGUACGUCGACGUUUCCGGCAUCCGGUUCCGGUUGCGAUUUUUAUACGGAGGGAUAGAACAGAGGUGAACGAUGAUUCCACAGAAUCUGAAAAGUCAGUGGAGCGAAAACGGCGGGCACGCAGAAAGAGGGUUCGUCCCGCGACGGCAGAAGAAAGGGAAGAAAAACAGUUAUUGUGCAUGGAAGAAGGGCUGGAGAGAGAAAGUGAGUGAGGAGAUGAGUCUACGCCGAAACGAUACGUCGUCGCAUCCGCCCGGGUCCGAGAAUCACGGGGUGUCAUUUGUCAACGGGGGCGCACGUGACGCUCGCACGAAAUUUCGCCGGAAAUUCGUCGUUUGCUGAACAGAAGCGGUGACGCGAAUCCGAAGCUUGCGUCGUCGCCAUCUUGGAGUCUUGACAUUUUCUGGGAUAUUUGAGAAAUUUCCGUCGGACAUCGUAUAUUUUUGGAAGGCAUAUUACUGAAAAAAAAGUCUGAUAAUAAUAACAAAUCUAGAUGAUACUGAAACUUUCCCAGAUAAUAAGCAGACGUUAUUAUGUCGUUAUUUUGACUCAAAAUGUCAAAAAUUAUAUUGUUUUAAUGACAAAAUGACGACAAAUGACUUUAUAGUUUUGCAAGGA